CUCUCUCUCUCUCUCUCCCCUUCUCUCUUUGGCAUGGUGUGGCAUUAGUAUGAGUAAGAAGCAGGUGAUUGUGAUUUAUGUUUAAAGCAAGGUGAUCAUCGCCUCCUAUGCUAUAGUGAUCUUAAUCAUUUGUGUUAUGCUAAUCCAUUGGAAGUUAUUCAGACUUGGGUCACGAUUAUCAAUUAUUGAAUAUGAAUGUAUUUAUCAUCAUUCCUUUUAGCCAUUAUAUGGAGAAGUGCAUGAUGGCAAUUGGAAAAGCAGAGUUGUAAGACAAUAUAAUCUUUGGAUUUUGUUAGUGAUGCAGUAUUGGAUGUCUGGAAAUUAUAUUCAUUGUAAAAUUAGGUAGUUUAUAAUUCUAUUAGGUUUAGAAUUUAUUAUUUAAGAAAUUCUAUUAGGUUUAGAAUUUUAUAGCUAGGAUUGGUUUUAUUCCUAGUUUGUUUAGGUUUAAUAUUCCUAAUUAGUUUCAGUUAGG
rnacentral:misc_RNA from 1 species